GAGCUACUCCCUCCGUUCGGAAUUACUCGUCCAAGAAAUGAAUGUAUAUAGAUGUAUUUUAGUUGUAGAUACAUCCAUUUUUGUGACAAGUAAUUCCGAACGGAGGGAGUACAUA
rnacentral:pre_miRNA from 1 species